rnacentral:rRNA from 1 species
UACGGAGGAUCCAAGCGUUAUCCGGAAUCAUUGGGUUUAAAGGGUCCGUAGGCGGUUUGAUAAGUCAGUGGUGAAAGCCCUACGCUUAACGUAGGAACGGCCAUUGAUACUGUCAGACUUGAACUAUUAGGAAGUAACUAGAAUAUGUAGUGUAGCGGUGAAAUGCUUAGAGAUUACAUGGAAUACCAAUUGCGAAGGCAGGUUACUACUAAUGGAUUGACGCUGAUGGACGGAAGCGUGGGUAGCGAACAGG